ensembl:lncRNA
UUUGGGAUGUUUUUUUUUAAUACCGAGGAUUAUAAAACACAAAUGUAGGAAGCAAAGAUUGAAGGACCCUUAAAAGAGUUCCUGAGAAACGUACCGUGAUUUCUCCUCCCCUUGCAGAUGGCUGUAUUAGAACAUCUCUCUGCUCCACAACUGGCGUCUUUCAGUCUUCAGUCAGGGGCUGUCAACGAGGAGGAAAAGAUGUGCCAGAUUCUUGCGAGGUUACAAAGCAAACCGCUGGAAGAGAUCUACCAGUAUCUGGAUCAGUUUGGCCUGGAGGCCCAGAAGGUACCGCCUUUAAACAUAGGCAGAGAACAAGUAAAGUUCAAUGAUUUCUCCACAAAUGUCUCUGUGGCCCAUUGCCUGCUGAUACUUUAACUCUGAGCAGCUGGAAUGUUUGUGAGCAUUCCAGGGAUCCCAUCGCUUAAGCUAGGAAAGGGAGCAGAAAAAUCAGACCAGCGGUUUUGUUACAGCUCAUUACAGAGACACAGAGUUGCAUUGUUAUUUGGAGACUGGUCCUAAAUAGUUAAGCAAUUGUGCAAUUUCCCCCCAUUUUAAAAUAUACAGCUUGGAAUAACGUCUCUGAAAGAGGAAGAUGUGCGGAAGAAGAUGCUCGUGAAGUUUCUUGAGGCAAUUGAACCCGAGUUCUCAACCUUCCGUCCCAUAAGCUGGGGUCACUUGCUCUCCACAAGGCUGGGGCUUUUCCUACCAAGCGCCGGGGGAACAGAAGCACAAAAGAUCUUGUCUCAUGUUUCUGGCUGCGACAAUUUCCAGGCUGUGGUCUCCUCUCUGAGCCAGGCUUACCCGGCGAUACCAGCGACCGACCAACAAAGCAUCUACAGCGCCCUGUUUACUUUCCUGGAAGACCAGCACAAGACCACAGGCUCGGCGUGUGUCUCUAGAGCCAUGGACUCCGAGGCCUGGCUGCAGGAGAACCUCGGGGCGUUCGCCGCUAACGCUCCUUACGAAGAUUUCACCAAGCUGUUGCGGAGUUUCGAUGGGUUUGAUGUCAGGGAUAACCUCACCGCCAUCCAGCUCGCUCACCUCUUUUUUGAACCCGGGGUCCUGGCGUCUCCAGAUUCAGCCCAUGCCCUCUUAACGCCCUUGGAAAACAGGCCGCUUGAGGACGCCCUUGUCUUUGUGACCGAAUUUUCAGCCGUCGCUUCUCAAAAUGGCGUAUCAUUCCUAGCAAACAAAGAUGUGCGAGACGCAAUGUUUGAAACCCUCUUCAGCAAAAUGCAAAAUCUGCUCCCUACUGCCGGUCUCUCCCAGUACAAAGACUGGUUCCAGGACAAGCUGGCCUUAUGGCUUCCCAGUCUCAAUGCCUCGGCCCUUGCUGCUAUCCCAAAGACCAUAUCAUGUGACAUUUUCAAAACCAUAAUGGCUGGCUUGGACCGCAGUUUUCCACACAUGUCACAAGAAACCCGCCAAGAUGUCUACAGAUUUGCCAAAGAUUAUUUGACUAUGAAGAUGUCCCAAGGGGGCAGUCCCUGUACAGAAAACACCCCAGGCAGCUCCGGCUGGCUAGAGGCCAACUUUGGCGCCUUCAGCUCAGUCGCCCUUUACCAAGACCUGGUGGGCAUCAAUCCACAGCUCGACGCUGUAAGUAACCUGGCCGGACGGGUGGGUCCCUUCCUUGGGUGCUGGCUUGGCCCGGGGUUUCCCCGUGUUUCCCUGACCCGCUGGGCCUCUUCCCUAGAUGGAUGCUCUUGA